rnacentral:rRNA from 1 species
UGUUUAUAAAAAACAUAGGUCUUAGCAAAGUCAUAAGACUAUGUACGAGGGCU